AUUUUUCUAGUACUAAAUAAUAAUAUAAGUGACUUCCAAUCACCCGAUCUUGGUUAAAGCCCAAGGAAAGAUA